AUUUAGAUGCUUUACAUCGCCUGUCUGAUGUCGCCUCAAAACUACAGUUUGGGAUGAUGACAAACACAUUGAGGGAUGCCACAAGGUCAGUGGCUUCUCAGAGUUUCUGGCCACACGGUUAAUAAUGUUUUGAAGGCUUUUUAAACUUCAGAAAAUAAACGGUUUACUUAACAGCCUGCGGCUUUUCUAGUUGAACUGCAGGUAAAACCUCACGGAGACACGCAGAUGAACUUCCAGACUGAACCGUGUCCGUGUCCACGGAGAGAGCAGCAGCAGCAGCAGCGCGCAUUGUCCUAGGAUGUUUUACAGUAUAUGGGUGCCCCCUAGCGUAUGAAGGCUUUGCUUCAAAUGAGAUUCAACUUAGAGAAGCCAUCCGACACUGAAACCGCUUCAGUCUCUUUUGCCGCAUCGAACCAAACUAACGAGCACCAUGUUAAACUGAUGACUGUUUGCUUAAAUUCUCUUUUACAUAACCUGGACGGCAAAGCUUCGAGAAGUGGCAAAGUUGGAUUUACUUUUUGCCACUUAAGGCAGUUUCGGCGGCGGUAUUUUAGACCAAUUGUUUCUUUAUUCUGAAAGCAAACGAGGCGAUUCUAGGUCGUCUGAAUGACUAUUUUGUCGAUUUUAUUUACAGGACUCGUGAGAAAUUGAAGAGCCUGUAAAUAAAAACACUCCGAAAAAGGGUAUUCGUUCACCGCGGAUCCAGCGCUCUUCCAAUGCAUCUCAUUGCGCUGCUGUUUGAAGGCAAAGAAAAAACUGGUCCAAUAACUAAAAUGUGUGCGUGUACGUUUGGCUUCAUAACCAUGUUACCUGACAUCAUUAAUGUUUCAAACUGUUUCUGUAGAACUAAAAGAAUGAAUAAAACAUAAGGGGAAUCUUCUCAUAUCACAAUAUUCUAACACUUAAAUUAACACAACAUAUUUGACAAUUAUGUGGGCAUAAAAUGAUUUUGUUCCCUUCACGCUGCUGUCAUCUUAAAGCACAUUGAUUCUUUCGAUUUGACUUUCCUUCUUUGUGGUUGAAUCCUGACUUUUGUAUGACUUGUCCUUUAAAUUAUAUUUGUGUCUGUUUUCAGAGUACGUAAUUACAGAAAAUUGCAUUCCAUUAUCACAAUUAAAACCCUCUUUUUGUAAA